rnacentral:rRNA from 1 species
ACAGGGUCCCCCUUGUGGUCGGUGUACAGGUGGUGCAUGGCUGUCGUCAGCUCGUGUCGUGAGAUGUUGGGUUAAGUCCCGCAACGAGCGCAACCCUUGUUCUGUGUUGCCAGCAUGCCCUUCGGGGUGAUGGGGACUCACAGGAGACUGCCGGGGUCAACUCGGAGGAAGGUGGGGACGACGUCAAGUCAUCAUGCCCCUUAUGUCUUGGGCUGCACACGUGCUACAAUGGCCGGUACAAUGAGCUGCGAUACC